rnacentral:rRNA from 1 species
AGUGGCGAACGGGUGAGUAAUAUAUCGGAACGUGCCCAGUAGUGGGGGAUAGCCCGGCGAAAGCCGGAUUAAUACCGCAUACGACCUGAGGGUGAAAGCGGGGGAUCGCAAGACCUCGCGCUAUUGGAGCGGCCGAUAUCAGAUUAGCUAGUUGGUGGGGUAAAGGCCUACCAAGGCUACGAUCUGUAGUUGGUCUGAGAGGACGACCAGCCACACUGGGACUGAGACACGGCCCAGACUCCUACGGGAGGCAGCAGUGGGGAAUUUUGGACAAUGGGCGCAAGCCUGAUCCAGCAAUGCCGCGUGCAGGAAGAAGGCCUUCGGGUUGUAAACUGCUUUUGUCAGGGAAGAAAUCUUCUGGGCUAAUACCCCGGGAGGAUGACGGUACCUGAAGAAUAAGCACCGGCUAACUACGUGCCAGCAGCCGCGGUAAUACGUAGGGUGCGAGCGUUAAUCGGAAUUACUGGGCGUAAAGCGUGCGCAGGCGGCUUUGCAAGACAGAUGUGAAAUCCCCGGGCUCAACCUGGGAACUGCAUUUGUGACUGCAAGGCUAGAGUACGGCAGAGGGGGAUGGAAUUCCGCGUGUAGCAGUGAAAUGCGUAGAUAU